AGCAAAGGAUUUUUUUUUUCAUACUGAAUUGGACCUCAGAAGAGAACUGAGCAAGGAAGCCCAUCAAUUAUAUGAAGACCAUGCUUAGGUUCAGUUGCUGUAUGCUUUAAAUUCUUCAGCUCCUGAGGGUACUAGAAGAGGCACCCAGCCUUUAAGCAGACUGUUUUAGUAGAGAAGCAAGUGCUGCUGUUUUACAUUUUGGUGGUGAACAUUGAAAUGACAGUGUCCAAUCUGUCCACAAAGCAGCCAUAGUCCACAGGACGGAGCAUCAACACUGCAGUAAUGAGGAAGUUUUCAAAGAAGCUGAGGUGAUCUGAAGCUCAAUGAAAAAACGUUAGUCAUACAUGAAAUGUUUUCUACCUGGAAACUUCAGAAUCAACAGGUUAGAAAUCUAGAAAGCAAGACCUUGAAGCAAAUUGUGUUUAUUUCCAAGUAGUGACCUCUGUGUAUCGUUAGUUUAGUCUCAAGCUUUCUAGCAGCCAUUUAAUACAGAAAAGCUCGGUGGACAUUUACUCUUUGUGCAUAUAUUCACUUUUGCAGUUCUGAGGAAAAUUCACUUGAGGUUCUCCAAGAGAAGACACUGUACAUGGUAGGAUUUCAGAGGACAGCCUGAGCUCCCAGCCUCUAUAGGGAUCACCAACAUACAAAUCAGGUACAACACACUUCAGCGUGACACAGAACAGCUCAAUGCACUCUACUGCAAGCUAAAUAAGGAAACAGAAAUGACCCAUAAUUUCAUGCAAUGUGCCAUUGGUGGGAAAGAAAUUGGUUUUGGUAGUAGGCUUCAGAAUAAACUGGAUGCAGAAUGAUAUUUAAGAUCUUAUCUAUCAAGUCAUGGCUGCAGAGACAAGAAAAGCAUAGGCACUGCACGAGGGCUCUGUCACAGGUUUGGCUGCUGAUGCAAAAAAUGAAAUGGAACUCUUGAGUACCCAAACACCAGUGCUUCAGAUGAGUUCCUGUGAUCUUGCUAUCACCAUAACAAGGAAUCUUCUUGCUUAUAUAUGUCUGUUUUUGCAGUUCUUGUUUGCUCAGUGGUAAGAGCAUUAUCAAUAAGAUUUUUCUGGGAUU
ensembl:lncRNA